UUUGAGCUAUUUGAUCCUGGUAGGGGAGAGGGAUAGGGGCCCGUCUCACAUAGAAAGGUUAUAUUGGUUAUGUCGGGUUUAUCUAUACUUGGCUUUCUAGUGAAGAGAACUGGUCAUUUUAAGGAAACUUAGAUCAGGCGGGCUAGCCUUUGUACAGUGGUUAAUGCACAGUGCCAGCAACCGCGGUUAUACUGUAAUUCUGGUCCCUCCCGGUUCGGUUGAAAUGAGUUUGUGGGUAAGAUGAUAUCUGCCGGUCCUAUGGAAUGAUAUCGUAGAAACGAGCCCACAGCUGAAGUGUGGUCCAGAUAGGAAAAGAGGAUUUGUACCCUUGUAUCGGACUAAAGAGUUAUCCCGCCAUAGUUAUUGAGAACUAAAAGGAUCUGGCCGUCGAUGAGGCUCCGCCGGGGGAGUGUGUGCCGUAACAGAUGAUCCGCUUAUGAAUUUACCAUCACCGUCUUUGGUUGGUGUACGGCCGACGAUAUCCCUAGUUUGAGCUAGUGGGUUUAAGUCGUUAGGUUACUCAAGUCAGGUCGGUGUGCCGCUUUAUGUGAUGGGAGGUCAUGCACUACAUUAUUAAAAGGCCCUUGAUGAAAAGAAUAAAAAUUGGGUGGAUUUCGGACUCGGUAGUAGGUUGGGAUUAGUUAGCCCGAUCGAAUGGGAUUUAGUCGGGGUACACAUCGCCCGUCAACCGGGGCGUUUAGCCGUGGUAAGUCGUAACAUGGUAGCGCUGGGGGAACCGAGUGCUAGAAGAUAGCGGCCCUUUGGGCUGUGCUGUUU
rnacentral:rRNA from 1 species